CGCUCUCUUGCUCUGCUACUUUGUUUCCCAUGCAGGGAAUUUUGUAAGAUAUGGUUUGCGAAAAAUGCGAGAGAAAGUUGAAAAAGCUGGCCUGUCCCGAAGUGUACUCAAAACUUUCUGUUAAAGGCAAACCAAGGCGAGAAAUUAACGAGAACAAACUGUUAACGGCAAGGAAAUUGAGGGAAACUCCUUAUACUUCGAGAUGUAAAAUUUGCAAACAAAAAUGCCACCAGCCCAACGCCAAAUACUGCCAGAAGUGCGCCUAUAAAAAAGGACUGUGCGCUUUAUGUGGGACUAUGAUAAUGGACACUAAAGAAUACAGGCAAUCUACCACUUAA